rnacentral:RNase_P_RNA from 1 species
GCAGACGGGCGAUUUGUCGCUGCUUCGUGAUGUGCCCACGCACUGAGACGAAGGAGAGGAAAGUCCGGGCAGCACAGGACAAGCCACUUCCUAAUGUAGAAGCAGUCCGCGAGGGUUGAGUAAUGCAGAAGAAAAUAACCGCUGUCCGUUAUUCCAGCAAGGUAUGAAUAACCGCUAAAAGGUCUAACGGCAGUAAGGGUGAGAAGGUGGUGUAAGAGACUACCAGCGAUAUGGUGACAUGUCGGCUGUGCAUCUUGGCUGCUGCAAGUUCAUGUAAACUGCCGCAGAUGACUUCGCGUCAUCGAAAAGGGUUGUCCGCCCGUGGCAGAGGGUAGAACGCUUGAGCUUUAUGGUGACAUAAAGACUGGAUAAAUGACAAAUACGCACUUCGGUGCGGACAGAACCCGGCUUAUAGCUCGUCUGCUUUU